rnacentral:lncRNA from 1 species
GAGGGCCUUCCCGCCGCCCCCCCACCCCGGACCUCUGAAUGGAGAGAGGCUCAGUGCGGUGUUUUCUGGGAGAUGUAGUUGGCAGGGCCCCAUGUGCGCGUGCGCAGCGUCGGGAGGCUCCUUGGUACUCUUGGGUGGUGGGUGGGCCCGAGAGUCUCCAUAGUAACCAGGGAUCCACCUGGCCAUCUCCAGGGCAACAGCCCGAGCAGCAGGCUUUUGAAAGGCCUUGAAGCUGGUGGGAUGAGAAUUUAGGAGCCGACUGGGGCCGGGAGUUGACGAGGGUGAGAGAGGAGAGACAGACACACAGAUGCAGGGACAGGGAAGCGAGACCCAGAGACUGUGCGGACAGAUUCUUGACUUGAGCAGAGACAGUGAAAGUAAGUAAACAGCAAAAUCCAUGUGAUUAAAAGAGGGAUUUCACCUAAUUAGAGAGGGUCAGAGAGUCAGAACUGUUGCCUAGAGGCAGAAAGAUCAGAAACGGAUGGACGAGAGAGAGAGAGAGAGAGAGAGAGAGAGAGAGAGAGAGAGAGAGAGAGGAGAGACAAGAAUAACGGACUGUAAGAAACACGCUCGCUCACCUGUUCAAGCCCAAAGAAAGGACUAAGAGACACAAGAUAUAGCAAAAAGCGACAAUUCUGCAAGGUCGGGAAUCUGUGGGAGCAGGCACACCCCAGAGCCAUUACAAUUGGCAUUUUAUCCUGUAGAGCUCAAAGUUCUUUCUCCCACUUCCUCAGUGGCUGAAUACUAUGGGGUACACAAUCUUCCAGAACUUUGCCUAGGUUUUACUGUUGUCUAUUGGAUUAUUUAAAUAAAAAUACCUUUAGUCGUUCUUCCCACCUUCCUUUGUUUUUAGUGGGCCGAAAGCCUUUCUGGGAUUGGGUGCAUUUUGGCACCUAUGAAGUUUAUUUUUGUUGGCCAGGCAGGCCCCUUACUUCACACCUCCUGUUUGUCAAGGGGCUGUGAAUUUUUCAUUCUGGUGUUGCCUGCUUGUAACUUUCUACUCCCCCCUUCAACUGCCUUACAUCCCAAUUUUAUAUUUAACGCUAAAUACUAUAUUCUGAAAAUGGACCACUGGACUUCCUCUUUUACAUCCUGGGGAACGGGGUGGGGAGAAACAGUGAUUGAAAUCAAAUUCAUUGCAUGUAUGGUUUUUGUCUAAAUGAACUCAACUACCAUGUAUAGAUAUAAUGCUCUAAAAAAAAAGUGCAGACAUCCAGACUCAAGAGAUGUACAGGAGUACAGAGGUAAGACAGAAGACAUGGGAAGAAAUUAGAGAUACAGUAAGAUGGAUUGACAGUUUUCAAAGACUGGGAAAAAGAUGAUAGCAAGAAGAGAUGGAGAAAUCAGGUACUGCAGGAAGCUGAGGCAGGAGGAUCACAAGUUUGAGGCCAGCCUCAGCAAUUUAGUGAGGCCCUAAGCAGUUUAAGGAGACCCUGUAUCAAAAAACAAAAUAAAAAGGGCUGUGGAUAUACCUCAGUGGUAAAGCGCCUCUGGGUUCAAUCCCCAGUACAAAACAAACAGAAAAACAAGACAAAACAAAAAAAAAAAAAGGGAGAGUUGGUUUUUAGGAAAAUUUAUCUAAAACUUGAUAAUAAGGCAAAAAGUUGACUGGAAGUCGUAAAUUCCCUAGCAUUGUCUACUUAGCCCAUUUUUAGACUCCCUAAACACAGCAACCCUUCAAUUAACUACUUUUGGUCAAGGUCCAGGGGUGGUUUAUUAGAGACUUACUUGUAAAAGGCUGAAAGACUGCUGAUGCUUUCUGUCCAGUGUAUUGCUGGCUAGGUCACUAAGAAGUUUUGCAUCUGACUUUGGGCUUUUAUGUCAGUAUUGGGACCCCUGGUUCCUCUGUGAGGUACAUGAGUUUCUGACACAUGCUUCCUGAGAGUUGUUUGUAAUUUAAAAAAAUUAUAAUGGGGGAGUAGGGGUGGGGCAGGGGUGUUGAGACCUUGCCUUUUGGCUGUCUUGCCUCCUUCCCUCUAGAAACAAAAAAAGCCCCUUCUCCCAGAGUAUAUACACACAUUGACAUUCUGAAGGGAGCCCAUUCUGGAAGGACAGCCAGAGAGGAAAAACAGGCAAAAGCCAGAGGGAAAGGAGGCAGGAAGGCCAGAGUGGCUGGCUGCACCACCCAAUCCUCCUGGGCUGAUGGCUCCCCUGCUCAGCCACCAAUGCAGGUAUCUUCCUGGCGGCUGUGGGCUCCUGGCUCCUGGGUUCUGCGAGAUGCCAUUUCCACUCAUAUCUUGCAUGUCAAGAGGGCUUGGGAAGCCACUCCGGAGAGGGAGAGGGGAAAUGAGCAAAAUUAAAAUUGUGGGUGAGCAGGUCAAGGCAUGGAUACAGGAGACAGAAGGACUGGGGCCCCUUUCAGGUGUUACUGAAAACUCUAUCCUAGUCCCUAAAACCAAUCCAAUAAUGAGGACACAGUUUUGAGAAAAAAGGAAAAAUAAGUUUUAUUGAUUUUCUAGCAAAGGCAAAACACAGGAACUCCUGUUCCAGAUGCUUGAUUCUGCCUCUUGGGAAAGAGAUGGCAUAUAUAUAUAUAUAUAUAUAUAUAUAUAUAUAUAUAUAUAUAUAUAUAUAUAUCUCACGUAUUGAAUGUAGGGUCACUUAAUCACUGAGCCACAUCCUAACCCUUUAAAAAUGUAUUAAUUUUAUUUUGAGACAGGAUCUCAUUAAGUUGCUUAGGGCCUUGCUAAAUUGCUGAGACUGGCUUUAAUGAUCUUUCUGCCUUAGCCUUCAAAAUUGCUGGAUUGCAGACAUGCACCACCAAGUACUGCAACAGAGGGAUUUUUAAAGAGAUGAUUCAAAGGCUACAUUCUAGGUGUGCCCUGUUAGGGGUUGUAAUUCACUUGUAGACUUGGGAGACUUUUUUUUUUUUUUUUUGUACUGGGGAUUGAACUCAGGAGCAUUCAACUGCUGAGCCACAUCCCCAGCCCUAUUUUGUAUUUUAUUUAGAGACAGGUCUUACUGAGUUUCUUAAUGCCUCACUGUUGCUGAAGGAGACAGUCAUUUUUUAGAUCUUAUUGUGCCAUCCCUGAAGUCUGAAUCACUCCAUUCCUGUGGUACAGGUUUGCUCAAGGACAGAUAAUGUGGCCUAGUAUGGGAAGAAGUUUAGGGAGAGGGAGAGGGAGAAAACAAAACAAAACAAAAACAUAUCAGUUUAAAAGUAAGCCACAGAGACAGAAGCAGCAAGGGUCAUGUCCUAAGCAUGAAAUGGACCCCUGUUACACAGGCAGGAGCCUUUCCCUGCCUUCCCAGGCUCCUGACCCUGGGGAUUUGUCCUUGGCGCCCUAGCCAGUCCACCAACAGACCAUUCAAGCACUCCUUUAAAUUUGUAAUGGUGAUUGUGGCAAAUUCCUGUAAUCCCAGCCACUUGGAAGACUGAGGCAGGAGGAUUACAAGUUUGAGGCUAGCUUUAGCAACUCAGUGAGACCCUGUCUCAAAAUAAAAUAAGAAAGAAGGCUAGGUAUGUAGCUUUGUAGUAGACUGCCGCUGGAUUCUAUACCAGUAACACGGGAUAGGGGAGGACCUAAUGUUUUGAUCAGCUGCUAGGGUCACAUUGUUCAGAAUGCAAAAGGAACAGUGUGGGAAGUGGCCUCCCACCACUCUCUGUACUUCAGGGUCUGGAGACACAACAGAGGGCUCAGUUAAAUACAAGGGGUAGGGCCUUUCUGAUAAGUCAUAGUUGAACAGACACCUGUAGAAGAUGGGGGAACAAGCUAUGUAGAUAACGGGGAAGAACUCUGCCUAGAGAUGUGGUCUAGAGUGAGUGAAAGAGAGAAGGAGGCUUUGAUGCCACAAGGAACCCAGUGAAACUGUGACAUUUACCCCCAGAGUUGGGAGGCCUGGGAGGACCCUACCAGAGGAUGGACAGGAUCUGGCUUCAGUCUUACUUCAUUACUCUGUCAUGUAGAGGACUGUCAUUCUUCUCUCACACCACAUACUCUAAGCUUUUCAGGAGGUUACCUUCUGUGUUAAAUUUCUAAUGAUUGCUAUAACAAAUUACUAUAAAUUUAGUGUUUUAAAACCACACAGCUUUCUCAUCUUAGUGUCUUGGCAGUCAGAAUAUUGAAAUGGAUUUCACUAAACCAAAAUCAAGCUAUCAGCAAGGCUACUUCCUUGAGGAUCUAGGCUUCAUUGGUCAAAUAUUUCUGGGUAUCUUAUUAGCACUCCUGUGAUUACAUUUAGGGGCCACCUGGAUAACCCAAGAUAAUCUACUUAAUUUGGGAUUACUAAUUUACAAAGUUUCUUUUACCAUGUAAAGUAAUUAAUAGGUUUCUGGAAUUAGGAGUGUGGACAUCCUUAGGUGCCCUUCACUGAUACUUGAUGUCUCUGCAUGAGAAGUGUGGAGACAGGUGGCUCACCUGUGUCUUGGAGGUGGGUCAAGCUCUCCCAAUUCUCUUUCCCUUAGGGUGGCAAGAGGUUCCUAGACCACCCUACAUCAGUGUAAGAAGAAAGCAGAGUCCCCCAGAAGACCUCUUUUAGUGUCAUAAGAAGGCUGAGAAGUGAGUUUGUAGUGUUUCUAGUAGGAGAGAGAAGAGGCUGGGUGUGCUGCUGGAGCAGUGGUUGGCAGGGCUGGGUGGUCUGUGAAGAGCAUGGGAUGGCCAGGUAUGUGUCACACAUUAAAGUUCAUGUGUUGGGGCUGAGGAUGUGGCACAAAUGGUAGCGCGCUCGCCUAGCAUGUGUGAGGCACUGGGUUCGAUUCUCAGCACUACAUAAAAAAUAAAAUAAAAAUAUCGUGUCCACAUAAAACUAAAAAAUAAAUAUUAAAAACAGUUCAUGUGUUUCCUUCUUACAGGUAGAGGAGGUGGCGAGAGAGGACAAGAGAGGGCAAGAGACUACCACUGUGGGCACAACAGCAGCUCCAGGCAGGGAGAAGACAGCUUGUUGAAGUGUAUGGAGCAAGGAGGCAAAAUGAAGGCAGCCCCCAACUACAGGUGUCAGAAAAGGCAGUGCCAAGAGGAAUCAGAAGUCUAUCACAAUACAUAUGAAAGUGGAGGUGCUGCAGAGGUUUGAGGAGGGUGAGAAACUGACAGACUGCCUGGGCCGUGGGGCUGACCAUCUGCACUGUUGCCUCCAUCCGUGUCAACAAAGGUCGGAUCUUGGCCAGUUCUCAGGUGGCCACUCCAGUCAGUGCCAGGCAGCUGACCUGCUGUUGGAGUAUGGUGAUGAGCCAUAUGGAGAGCCAGCAUGUUGCUUAUCCAGGACAAGACACACCAGCUUCUUGCAUGGCUUCAAUAGAGCAGGGCAAUAGUGCUCAGACUGAAAACUUUGGGGCCAGCAAUGGCUGGUUUGUCCAUUUCAAGAUAUGCCACGAUGACACCCAGGCUGCUGCUUGAUAACCCAAAGUUAUACACCAUCCUGAAGGAGGGCUGCUACUUACCACCCCAGGCCUUCAAUGUGGAUAAGACAGGCCUGUUCUGGAAGCGGCUGCUUGAGAGGGUGUCUGGGCUGGGCCCAAGACUUCUAAGUAUCACCUAACUCUGCUACUGGGUGGCAGUGCUUCUGGUGAUUUCAAGCUAAAGCCCCUUGGAGAAUCUGCACUCCCUCAAGGGCUGCUGCAAGGCCAGCCUGCCUGUGGUCUGAUACUCCAACCACCAUGACUGGCUGACUCCUAACAUCUUCCAGAAAUGGUUCACUGGACCCUUCUGUCCCACCAUGGAAAGCUACCAUGCCCUACUGCUCCUGGAUGGUGUAACUUGCCACCCUCCCUGUACACCUGGGUGACACCUCAGGCAUGUUGAGUUCCUACCUAAGAACACCUCAAUUUCUAUCCAGCUCAUGAACGAGGGCAUCACUGCUGCCUUCAAGACCUAUUACCUGUGCUGCAUGCUCAACCAGCCAGUCCAGGAAAUAGCUGGUGAGGCCCAACUCUCUGCAUAGGAGUUUUGGCACAGCUAUACUGUCAAGACCACAGUGCACAAUGCUGCUGAGGCCUGGGCAGAACUGCACCCAUUACUGUGAACAGGGCUUGGAGGAUUGUAUCACUGAGCCUGAUAGCGUUCCCUGGUUCUGCCAUAGCACUACAGUGCUAACCAGCCAUGUGGUCGUGCUUGGGGAUGUGGCUGAGGCAGAUGUCGCCUGCCUCUGCAGGCCCAUGGAGAGCUCUCCAGAUCCUGCAGGGUCCCCCUGGACUCAGAGGAUGGGGAUGCCAGCAGCUCUAGGCUGCUCUGGGAGGAGGGGAAAGGCCUAUUUUUAACAAGGCCAGAGACAGAGCUCACAGAAGGUGCAGGGAUUGAGGAAGUUGGUGUGGUAGUGCUGAGCCAUGAGCAUCUGGCCCUGGCCCUGUCCUACCUUGUUUCUGGCCUUCAGGUCCUUAUAGAGAAUGACCCCAUUUGGGAGUGCAGUCUGCAUGUCUUGGGAUGUCCACAGAGCUUUUGCCUGCCUCCAGGAGCUGUACUGACACAGGGGGUGGCAGGUUCAGAAGGUGCAUCCUCAGGAGGCCCUGUGGUCGUGGCAGCAAGAAUUCAAAGGAAGGGCUGGUGUUGUGGCUCAGAGGUAGAAUCACUUGCCUGCCAUGCGUGAGGUCCUGGGUUCAAUCCUCAGCACCACAUAAAAAUAAAAUAAAGAUAUUGUGUCCACAUAUAACUAAAAAUAAAUAAAUAAAUAUUUAAAAAAAAGAAUUCAAAGGAAGCCUAUCCUCACUACAGCAGGGGCCUGCAGAAGAUGGAUGUGUUGGGGACCACAAAUCAAGUCAAGAUAGCGCCUGGCAGUUUGCCAGGAGGAGUGGUUUGUGAGGCAACACCACGGAGCCAUUAAGAUGGUGAGGAUUCCUUAUUGGCUGAUUGCUGUAUCUGGAUGAUGCUAACUGAGUCAAGCUGUG